rnacentral:rRNA from 1 species
GGGGUUUGAUCAUGGCUCAGGACGAACGCUGGCGGCGUGCCUAAUACAUGCUNGUCGAGCGGAUCUGCNCGAAUCCUUUGGAUUCGCUAGGGUUAGCGGCGGACGGGUGAGUAACACGUAGGCAACCUGCCUGCAAGACCGGGAUAACUGGCGGAAACGCCUGCUAAUACCGGAUAAUCGAUUCGCCCGCAUGGGUGGAUCGUGAAAGAUGCUUCGGCAUCGCUUGUGGAUGGGCCUGCGGCGCAUUAGCUAGUUGGCGGGGUAAUGGCCCACCAAGGCGACGAUGCGUAGCCGACCUGAGAGGGUGAUCGGCCACACUGGGACUGAGACACGGCCCAGACUCCUACGGGAGGCAGCAGUAGGGAAUCUUCGGCAAUGGACGAAAGUCUGACCGAGCAACGCCGCGUGAGUGAGGAAGGCCUUCGGGUCGUAAAGCUCUGUUGCCAUGGUAAGAACAGCCAGUGGGAGGGAAUGCCCCUGGUGUGACGGUACCUGA